rnacentral:rRNA from 1 species
UAGGGAAUCUUCCGCAAUGGACGCAAGUCUGACGGAGCAACGCCGCGUGAGUGAAGAAGGAUUUCGGUUCGUAAAACUCUGUUGUUAGAGAAGAACAGCGCAUAGAGUAACUGUUAUGCGUGUGACGGUAUCUAACCAGAAAGCCACGGCUAACUACGUGCCAGCAGCCGCGGUAAUACGUAGGUGGCAAGCGUUGUCCGGAUUUAUUGGGCGUAAAGCGAGCGCAGGCGGUCAAUUAAGUCUGAUGUGAAAGCCCCCGGCUCAACCGGGGAGGGUCAUUGGAAACUGGUUGACUUGAGUGCAGAAGAGGAGAGUGGAAUUCCAUGUGUAGCGGUGAAAUGCGUAGAUAUGUGGAGGAACACCAGUGGCGAAGGAGACUCUCUGGUCUGUAACUGACGCUGAGGUUCGAAAGCGUGGGUAGCAAACAGG